GAUGAACGCUGGCAGCAUGCUUAACACAUGCAAGUCAUUGGCGAAGCUGCGCUUGCGCAGUCUAGCCAAGGCGGACGGGUGAGUAAAGCGUAAGGAACGUGCCCUGCAGACAGGGAAAACAGACGGAAACGACUGAUAACACCUGGUAUUGUCAGGCUGGCGCAUGCCGGCCUGAUGCAAGGAGGCGCUGCAGGAGAGCCUUGCGUCCUCUUAGCUAGUUGGUGGGGUAACGGCCCACCAAGGCGAUGAUAGGUAGCCGGCCUGAGAGGGUGAACGGCCACCAGGGGACUGAGAUACGGCCCUUACUCCUACGGGAGGCAGCAGUGGGGAAUAUUGGACAAUGGGGGCAACACUGAUGCAGCAAUUCUGUGUGCACGAAGAAGGUUUUCGGAGUGUAAAGUGCUUUCAGCAGGGAAGAAGAAAGUGACGGUACCUGCAGAAGAAGCGACGGCUAACUACGUG
rnacentral:rRNA from 1 species